rnacentral:rRNA from 1 species
ACGGGUGAGUAACGCGUGAGCAAUCUGCCUUUCAUUACGGGAUAACGGCCGGAAACAGCCGCUAAUACCGUAUAAAGUAUACGGAUCGCAUGUUCUGUAUACCAAAGAUUUAUUGAUGAAAGAUGAGCUCGCGUCUGAUUAGAUAGUUGGUGAGGUAACGGCUCACCAAGUCGACGAUCGGUAGCCGGACUGAGAGGUUGAACGGCCACAUUGGAACUGAGAUACGGUCCAGACUCCUACGGGAGGCAGCAGGUGGGGAAUAUUGGGCAAUGGGCGAAAGCCUGACCCAGCGACGCCGCGUGCGGGAAGAAGGUCUUCGGAUUGUAAACCGCUGUAGACAGGGACGAAGAAAGUGACGGUACCUGUAAAGUAAGCCACGGCUAACUACGUG